GAUGUGGUAUGAUUGCAAAUGGGACUAAUUUCCACAAGAGACCUAAUGACCGAUGACACAAAAAUAAACUUAUAUCACCACCUUCAAUAAUACUCAAAUAUUGUAAGCUGUAGGAUAACUAUAUGAGGGUUUGGAUGGGGUUAAAUGAUUAAAGAAUAAUACCCUUAAAAAAUGAAGAUUAGACAUGUUAGAGAAUAACGGGCA
rnacentral:lncRNA from 1 species